rnacentral:rRNA from 1 species
GACGAACGCUGGCGGCGUGCUUAACACAUGCAAGUGGAGCGACGAACCAGGGCUUGCCCUGGGGCAGAGCCGCGAACGGGUGAGUAACACGUGGGUAACCUACCCCGAUGACUGGGACAACCCGAGGAAACUCGGGCUAAUACCGGAUGUGCUCUCCACCCUUAAGGGUGGUGAGUAAAGGAAGCUUCGGCCUCCGCUUCGGGAGGGGCCCGCGGCCCAUUAGCUUGUUGGUGAGGUAACGGCUCACCAAGGCGACGAUGGGUAGCUGGUCUGAGAGGACGAUCAGCCACCCUGGGACUGAGACACGGCCCAGACUCCUACGGGAGGCAGCAGUGGGGAAUCUUGCGCAAUGCGCGAAAGCGUGACGCAGCAACGCCGCGUGGGGGAAGAAGGCCUUCGGGUUGUAAACCCCUUUCAGGAGGGACGAAGGUGCGGCGGCGAAUAGCCGUCCGUACUGACGGUACCUCCACAAGAAGCUCCGGCUAACUACGUGCCAGCAGCCGCGGUAAGAC